rnacentral:tRNA from 1 species
GCCUUCAUAGCACAAUGGUUAAGUGCUCCUCAGCUGCUAAUUGAAAGGUCGGUGGUUCAAACCCAUCAAUGGCU